rnacentral:tmRNA from 1 species
GGGGGUGUUCCGGAUUCGACUGCGGCUGGGAGGCUCAGGCUGCAUGCCGGAGAUGAUCGCUCAGCUCCGUUACCAAGGUGAUCAUCCUUGUUUCUAAAUGCCAAGGAUAACGUAAUCAGCUUCCCGGGCACCGCCCAGGAAGCUAUGGCGGCGUAAAGUCCGCCUCGUCCCGCCGGGGAUGUCUGCUAACCGGUUGGGGCGUCAUUGAGCAGAUAUAGUUCGUGGUUGGCACCGCCCCAUGAGCCGUAACCCAUCGGUGCUGGCCUUUUCGACACCUGUCUCUGGGUGUUGGGAAGGCAAGAUUGCAUUCAGGGACUAAGCAUGUAGACGCCCGAUCCAAAAGGUCGUAGGACGCGGGUUCGACUCCCGCCACCUCCACCA